CCGUUCACCUCUAGAAUUUAUGCAUGUUUGCAAUCCUGCAACAGUUAGCAUGCUGCUUUCAAACAUGCAAAGUACAGAUGCAGUUAUUAGGCCCUUAAAUUUCUUAUGGGCUUGAUAAAUCACACUGUGCUCAGUUAAACCAUUUGUAUGAUGUUCUCCCAGUAUUCAUACUCACUCAGUUAUUAAGGCAAACAUAUUAAAUGGACAGCACUUGUUAUUUUGCUUAUUUAAAAGACAGUCCACAGUGUCAAGCAUUCAUA